UGUGUUUAACUAUAGCAUAAGGAAGUGGUGGUCUGCUCAGUCGCAUAGAUAGUUUGUGGGGUUGUAUUUUAUUGGAGUUCAAUUUUGUUUCUAGCGGCUAGUUCUUCAUUUUAGUGUGAGCUUUUGGGGGAGUGGAUUAGUGAAAGGGGAUAAGGCACAGUGCCAGCAUCUGCGGUUAUUCUGUUUUCUUUGUUUUUAAUUGGUUGUGGUGGGCUGCAUUUAUAGCUAAGGUUAGGUAGAAUUUUCUUAGGUUAGUUAUGAGUGGUUUCAGUUUGUUAAAUAGUCUACUUGAGAAGAGGAUUAGAGACCCUUUUAUCUGAUUAUAUAUUUUAUGCCUAGUUUGAACUAAAAGAGUUUGGCAGUGAGUUACUCCGUUUGGGGGAAUAUGUGUAGUAAAGGAUGGUCCCCCUAAUAAUUGACCUUGUUUAUGUUGGUGUAUAUCUGGUUUAAUAUUAUUGCUUAGUGGUUUGAAUUUGUGUAUUAAUCUUUAAGCCAAGUCUAUGUGCUGCAUAUUAAGGGCUGACAUUUGUUACAUUUAUAUAUGGGGUUUUGUGAUAAAUCUUGGUUUAGGACUCAAUAGUAAUGCUUAUUCAGGGUGUUGGCGUGAAUUUGGUUUGACUCAGGUACACACCGCCCGUCACUCUCGACUAUUGUUGAGAUAAGUCGUAACAAGGUAGCCCAAGAGGAAUCUUGGGCUAGUUUCCUGAGUGGUAAGUAUUGAAGGGAGAGGGAAGUA
rnacentral:ncRNA from 1 species